rnacentral:rRNA from 1 species
AUUGAACGCUGGCGGCAUGCCUUACACAUGCAAGUCGAACGGCAGCACGGGUGCUUGCACCUGGUGGCGAGUGGCGAACGGGUGAGUAAUACGUCGGAACGUACCUUAUCGUGGGGGAUAACGCAGCGAAAGCUGUGCUAAUACCGCAUACGCCCUGAGGGGGAAAGCGGGGGAUCGCGAGACCUCGCGCGAUUAGAGCGGCCGAUGCCUGAUUAGCUUGUUGGUGGGGUAAAAGCCCACCAAGGUGACGAUCAGUAGCUGGUCUGAGAGGACGAUCAGACACACUGGGACUGAGACACGGCCCAGACUCCUACGGGAGGCAGCAGUGGGGAAUUUUGGACAAUGGGGGCAACCCUGAUCCAGCAAUGCCGCGUGAGUGAAGAAGGCCUUCGGGUUGUAAAGCUCUUUUGUCAGGGAAGAAACACCGGCUCUAACACAGUCCGGGAAUGACGGUACCUGAAGAAUAAGCACCGGCUAACUACGUGCCAGCCGCCGCGGUAA